CUCGCGAUUUCUUCGGUUUAUUUUUACCCCAAAUUCUCUCUCAAUUAUAAGGGAUUUCUCCUGAUUUUUUGUACCAUCCAAAACAAAGCGUUUUCUAGCCGUCGCAGCUAUUUGCAGUGAAUCUAUCGCUCUCGCCGCCAAUCGCUGUCAUCUUCUCGGUUGAGCACCUUCCUCACCUUCAUUGCCAUCACAAUUGGGUCGAAUUUCUCUCUCACAACUGGUCAAGCUCUUUCGGCCACCGAUCGAGAACUCUAGCUGCAACUAUUCCAAUUUAAUCAACCACGCAGUUCCGUUCUAGCGCUUCCGUCGCUUCCGUGGGUGAAGAGAUUGAUGCAGAUAGGAGUUUGCAAAGGCCGAUUAACGUCACCAGGUCUUAGGCUCAGUCUGAUGGGGCUAAAAGCAAGGUUUUAGAACUCAGUUUGAACUGUGGUUUCAACUUCACUACUCUUAUCCAAAAACUUUCAGUUUUUGGAAGUUUCGAUAGUUUCAAGAUUUGGUUUUAGUUGAGGUUUAAGGGUUUUUUUUCCUUGUAAAAUUUAUGAGCAUGCUUGCUUGUCUAAGUAAUUGUGUAGCUCACCUGAGGCGGGGAAGAAAGGGAAUGGGCAUAUUCACUAUAACAAAUGGACAACCAUUACAAACAAAAUCAUUAGUUAAUACUUUUCGAAGUAGAACACUAGCAUCACCCAUGCAACCUACAUCUGCAGAAUCUUCAUAUGGGAUGGGCUUUGUAGCACCUUUCGAGUCCCAUUCACUACGACCACCACAAUCAAACCCUACAAACACCAAAUCACUUGUUGUAUGUUAUGGAAGUUCAAUAAAAAGGAGUAGUAAACAUAGAGUUCGUAAAUCGAAAAAGAAAUGAUUUCUCUUUUUAGAUUUGGCCCUACUUUUACUGUUGGUGUUUGCUUGGUUGGUUUUGGCUUAUUUUUGGAGUGUUGUGGAUGGUGGUCCUUUCAGACCCAAGGUUGGGCGAUUGGUUUUGUUGGGUGCCUUGUGGAUUGAUGGCAGGACCGUGGGGUGUUGGCUUUUGUUUUCGGACUAUGAUGAGACAGGCUUCCUGCUUGCCCCCUUGGAAGGCCAUGAUUUGUUUUGACAACCUAAGUGGUUCCUUCUUCUGUGUGUUCAUGGGUGGUAAUCGUAUUUGGGUCAUCUCGUUGAUGUUUAUUCUUCCCCCAAUGGAUGGUCCAAGCUUGGCAACCGGGUGGCGAUUUUGAGUCCGACA